rnacentral:rRNA from 1 species
AUACGUAGGGUGCGAGCGUUGUCCGGAAUUACUGGGCGUAAAGAGCUCGUAGGUGGUUUGUCGCGUCGUCUGUGAAAUUCCGGGGCUUAACUCCGGGCGUGCAGGCGAUACGGGCAUAACUUGAGUACUGUAGGGGAGACUGGAAUUCCUGGUGUAGCGGUGAAAUGCGCAGAUAUCAGGAGGAACACCGGUGGCGAAGGGGGGUCGCUGGGCAGUAACUGACGCUGAGGAGCGAAAGCAUGGGUAGCGAACAGGAUUAGAUACCCUGGUAGUCCAUGCCGUAAACGGUGGGCGCUAGGUGUAGGGGUCUUCCACGACUUCUGUGCCGUAGCUAACGCAUUAAGCGCCCCGCCUGGGGAGUACGGCCGCAAGGCUAAAACUCAAAGGAAUUGACGGGG